UGAGGAACAUGACCUUCGGCGGGGGAUAGCCGGCCCAACGGCCGGGUAAUACCGCGUACGACCACAUGGGGACAUCCCUGAGUGGUGAAAGCAGCAAUGCGCCGAUGGAGUGCCUCGCGGCCUAUCAGCUAGUUGGUGAGGUAACGGCUCACCAAGGCGACGACGGGUANCUGGUCUGAGAGGACGACCAGCCACAGUUGGGACUGAGAUACGGCCCAGACCUCCCGUAGGGACGG
rnacentral:rRNA from 1 species